rnacentral:rRNA from 1 species
GACGAACGCUGGCGGCGUGCUUAACACAUGCAAGUCGAACGGAAAGGCCCUGCUUUUGUGGGGUGCUCGAGUGGCGAACGGGUGAGUAACACGUGAGUGACCUGCCCUUGACUUUGGGAUAACUUCAGGAAACUGGGGCUAAUACCGGAUAGGAGCUCCUGCUGCAUGGGGGGGGUUGGAAAGUUUCGGCGGUUGGGGAUGGACUCGCGGCUUAUCAGCUUGUUGGGGGGGUAGGGGCUUACCAGGGCUUUGACGGGUAGCCGGCCUGAGAGGGUGACCGGCCACAUUGGGCCUGAGAGACGGCCCAGACUCCUACGGGCGGCAGCAGUGGGGAAUAUUGCACAAUGGGCGGACGCCUGAUGCAGCAACGCCGCGUACGGGAUGACGGCCUUCGGGUUGUAAACCGCUUUCGCCUGUGACGAAGCGUGAGUGACGGUAAUGGGUAAAGAAGCACCGGCUAACUACGUG